rnacentral:rRNA from 1 species
UACAGAGACUGCAAGCGUUAUUCGGAUUCACUGGGCGUAAAGGGUGCGCAGGCGGUCGGGUGUGUCAGAUGUGAAAUCCCGAGGCUCAACCUCGGAACUGCGUCUGAAACUACUCGACUAGAGUACUGGAGAGGGUAACGGAAUUCACGGUGUAGCAGUCGAAAUGCGUAGAUAUCGUGAGGAACACCAGAGGCGAAGGCGGUUACCUGGACAGUUACUGACGCUCAGGCACGAAAGCAUGGGGAGCAAAAGGG